AGAGUUUGAUCCUGGCUCAGAUUGAACGCUGGCGGCAGGCCUAACACAUGCAAGUCGAGCGGUAGAGAGAAGCUUGCUUCUCUUGAGAGCGGCGGACGGGUGAGUAAUGCCUAGGAAUCUGCCUGGUAGUGGGGGAUAACGUUCGGAAACGGACGCUAAUACCGCAUACGUCCUACGGGAGAAAGCAGGGGACCUUCGGGCCUUGCGCUAUCAGAUGAGCCUAGGUCGGAUUAGCUAGUUGGUGAGGUAAUGGCUCACCAAGGCGACGAUCCGUAACUGGUCUGAGAGGAUGAUCAGUCACACUGGAACUGAGACACGGUCCAGACUCCUACGGGAGGCAGCAGUGGGGAAUAUUGGACAAUGGGCGAAAGCCUGAUCCAGCCAUGCCGCGUGUGUGAAGAAGGUCUUCGGAUUGUAAAGCACUUUAAGUUGGGAGGAAGGGUUGUAGAUUAAUACUCUGCAAUUUUGACGUUACCGACAGUAUAAGCACCGGCUAACUCUGUGCCAGCAGCCGCGGUAAUACAGAGGGUGCAAGCGUUAAUCGGAAUUACUGGGCGUAAAGCGCGCGUAGGUGGUUUGUUAAGUUGGAUGUGAAAUCCCCGGGCUCAACCUGGGAACUGCAUUCAAAACUGACUGACUAGAGUAUGGUAGAGGGUGGUGGAAUUUCCUGUGUAGCGGUGAAAUGCGUAGAUAUAGGAAGGAACACCAGUGGCGAAGGCGACCACCUGGACUAAUACUGACACUGAGGUGCGAAAGCGUGGGGAGCAAACAGGAUUAGAUACCCUGGUAGUCC
rnacentral:rRNA from 1 species